rnacentral:rRNA from 1 species
GACGAACGCUGGCGGCAUGCCUUACACAUGCAAGUCGAACGGCAGCACGGGUGCUUGCACCUGGUGGCGAGUGGCGAACGGGUGAGUAAUAUAUCGGAACGUACCUUAUUGUGGGGGAUAACGCAGCGAAAGCUGUGCUAAUACCGCAUAAUCCCUAAGGGGGAAAGCGGGGGACCGUAAGGCCUCGCGCAAUUAGAGCGGCCGAUACCUGAUUAGCUAGUUGGUGAGGUAAAGGCUCACCAAGGCAACGAUCAGUAGCUGGUCUGAGAGGACGAUCAGCCACACUGGGACUGAGACACGGCCCAGACUCCUACGGGAGGCAGCAGUGGGGAAUUUUGGACAAUGGGGGCAACCCUGAUCCAGCAAUGCCGCGUGAGUGAAGAAGGCCUUCGGGUUGUAAAGCUCUUUUGUCAGGGAAGAAACAGCAGCUCUAACACAGUUUGCGAAUGACGGUACCUGAAGAAUAAGCACCGACUAACUACGUGCCAGCAGCCGCCGUAA